rnacentral:rRNA from 1 species
UCCUGCCAGUGAUCACAUUCUUCGAUUAAAGAUCUAAGCCAUGCACGUGUAAGAACCUCGAGUUACUAGGGAGUCUGCGAAUGGCUCAGAAUAUAAUUUUUAACUUCCCCUAGAACAACUACUAUCGGAACUUCCGAGGUAAUUCAUGGGCUAACCCUGCACCAAAGCAAGUUUCGCAAGGAGCUUGUGCAUUUGUUAGUUUCAAACCAACAUUUUGAGAUGAAUCUUGACAAACUGCGGAUCCUCAUGUUGCAAAAGACGGAGGACGACUAGGAAAGGAUUAUUAGGUAUCAGUUCUCGUUGCAAGUGUAAGGCACUUGCAAGACGUUGACGCCUGACGGGGUGUUAGGGCACGGCCCCGGAGAGGGAGCCUGAGAGAUGGCUACCACAUCUAAGGAAGGCAGCAGGCGCGCAAAUUCUUCAAUAGCCAAAUGGCUGAAAGAGUGACGAUCAAUAACAAGGUGCGGCCCUUUGGGUUGUGCCAUUGGAAUGACAGCAAUUUAAAGAGUUCAAGGAGGAUCAACUGGAGGGCAAGUCUGGUGCCAGCAGCCGCGGUAAUUCCAGCUCCAGAAGGAUGUAUCAACGUUGUUGCAGUUAAAAAGCUCGUAGUUGAAUUUUGGGGGGUAUUUUUGGCUUGACGUUUAUCUGGGGCAACUCGGGUAUUCGGAGGGCAGCCUCCUUUCUGUGGAUUCACGUCUUGUGUGGGAUGGUUUACUCCGUUUUGCAUGGGAUGCCACUCAGUCACUGAGAGUAAAUUGGGGUGCUCAAAGCAGGCUUGAUAGCUUUGAACAUUUUAGCUUGGAAUGACAAAAUAUGACUAUCGUUUUAUUUUGUUGGUUAUGAAACGAGAGUAAUGAUUAACAGGAACAGUGCGGGGGUACUCGUAUUGUUAGGUCAGAGGUGAAAUUCUUGGAUUCUAACAAGACGAACGACUGCGAAAGCAUUUACCAAGGAUGUUUUCAUUAAUCAAGAACGAAAGCUCGGGGAUCGAAGAUGAUUAGAUACCAUCGUAGUC